GUGUUGUGUGAAAGAGGAGUAAGUUAGAACACUCCUUCACAAGAAUGGACAAGGCCCUUAGGCCUAAUAACAUGCAUACCAGUAAGGCAUUGUUGCCGGCUAUGUGAUAUCUGACCACUGUCUUUU